ACUCCUACGGGAGGCAGCAGUGGGGAAUAUUGCACAAUGGGCGAAAGUCUGAUGCAGCGACGCCGCGUGAGGAAGAAGUAUUUCGGUAUGUAAACUCUAUCAGCAGGGAAGAAAAUGACGGUACCUGACUAAGAAGCCCCGGCUAACUACGUGCCAGCAGCCGCGGUAAUACGUAGGGGGCAAGCGUUAUCCGGAUUUACUGGGUGUAAAGGGAGCGUAGACGGCGAAGCAAGUCUGAAGUGAAAACCCAGGGCUCAACCUGGGAGUGCUUUGGAAACUGUUUUGCUAGAGUGUCGGAGAGGUAAGUGGAAUUCCUAGUGUAGCGGUGAAAUGCGUAGAUAUUAGGAG
rnacentral:rRNA from 1 species